rnacentral:rRNA from 1 species
AUGAACGCUGGCGGCGUGCUUAACACAUGCAAGUCGAACGGAGUCAUCAUUUUUGAAGCUGACAGUUUACUGGGAGUGGAGAUGUUGAUGACUUAGUGGCGGACGGGUGAGUAACGCGUGGGUAACCUGCCUUGCACAGGGGGAUAACACUUAGAAAUAGGUGCUAAUACCGCAUAAGCGCACAGGACCGCAUGGUCAAGUGUGAAAAACUUAGGUGGUGCAAGAUGGACCCGCGUCUGAUUAGCUGGUUGGUGAGGUAACGGCCCACCAAGGCGACGAUCAGUAGCCGGCCUGAGAGGGUGGACGGCCACAUUGGGACUGAGACACGGCCCAAACUCCUACGGGAGGCAGCAGUGGGGGAUAUUGGACAAUGGGGGGAACCCUGAUCCAGCGACGCCGCGUGAGUGAAGAAGUAUCUCGGUAUGUAAAGCUCUAUCAGCAGGGAAGAAGGAAGACGGUACCUGAGUAAGAAGCCCCGGCUAACUACGUGCCAGCAGCCGCGGUAAUACGUAGGGGGCAAGCGUUAUCCGGAAUUACUGGGUGUAAAGGGAGCGUAGACGGUCAUGUAAGUCUGGAGUGAAAGGCGGGGGCCCAACCCCCGGACUGCUCUGGAAACUAUGAGACUGGAGUGCAGGAGAGGUGAGCGGAAUUCCUAGUGUAGCGGUGAAAUGCGUAGAUAUUAGGAGGAACACCAGUGGCGAAGGCGGCUCACUGGACUGUAACUGACGUUGAGGCUCGAAAGCGUGGGGAGCAAACAGGAUUAGAUACCCUGGUAGUCCACGCCGUAAACGAUGAUCACUAGGUGUAGGUGGGUAUGGACCCAUCGGUGCCGCAGCAAACGCAGUAAGUGAUCCACCUGGGGAGUACGUUCGCAAGAAUGCAACUCAAAGGAAUUGACGGA